GGCAAAUGGUGGAAGUGCUGGGAGGUGUAAGAUACCAAAUAUACUUUGAAGGGUGACCUUCAGCCACCAGCUGGAAAUCCAGGAGGGGCCUCAGCCAAGUUUACUCUCGGCACAAUAAGGAAGCAGAGGGCUCCCAGGGACGUUCUUCCUCACCACCCAUCUUCUCUGUCUUCCAUUCCCUAUGCCCUGCCUAGGAGUCUCAGCUUCAUCCGCCUUAUCCAUGUCCCGGCCAUCUUUGCUGACACAAUCCUCUCUUCACUCACCCCCAACACCUAGACCCCAGGUCAGAGGAUGCUAGCUCCAGGUCCCCAUCCUUCUGGGCCUUGUUCUCUGCUAUGAAGCUGCCAACAAGUUAUGCCACGGGUGUAAGCAUCAGAAAACCAACAUAGCACUGUGAAGAGGGAAUUUGCCCCACUUUGCAAAUGGGGAUAGCUGAGGACCAGCCUGGGC
rnacentral:lncRNA from 10 species